rnacentral:sRNA from 1 species
GCUGUGUGUGGUGGUGCAUGCCUGUAAUCCCAGCGGCUGGGGAGGCUGAGGCAGGAGGCUUGUGAGUUCAAAGCCAACUUCAGCAAAAGUGAGGCACAAAGCACUCAGUGAGACCCUGUCUCUA